rnacentral:tRNA from 1 species
UGGGAGUUAGAGCAGUGGUCAGCUCGCUGGGUGCAUAGCCCAGAGGUCGUCAGUUCGAAUCUGGCAUUCCCAA